rnacentral:rRNA from 1 species
GGUGAGUAACACGUGAGCAAUCUGCCCCUGACUCUGGGAUAAGCGCUGGAAACGGCGUCUAAUACCGGAUACGAGCCGAGCAGGCAUCUGCAUCGGUUGGAAAGAACUUCGGUCAGGGAUGAGCUCGCGGCCUAUCAGCUAGUUGGUGAGGUAAUGGCUCACCAAGGCGACGACGGGUAGCCGGCCUGAGAGGGUGACCGGCCACACUGGGACUGAGACACGGCCCAGACUCCUACGGGAGGCAGCAGUGGGGAAUAUUGCACAAUGGGCGCAAGCCUGAUGCAGCAACGCCGCGUGAGGGACGAAGGCCUUCGGGUUGUAAACCUCUUUUAGCAGGGAAGAAGCGAGAGUGACGGUACCUGCAGAAAAAGCACCGGCUAACUACGUGCCAGCAGCCGCGGUAAUACGUAGGGUGCGAGCGUUAUCCGGAAUUAUUGGGCGUAAAGAGCUCGUAGGCGGUCUGUCGCGUCUGCUGUGAAAACCCGAGGCUCAACCUCGGGCUUGCAGUGGGUACGGGCAGACUAGAGUGCGGUAGGGGAGAUUGGAAUUCCUGGUGUAGCGGUGGAAUGCGCAGAUAUCAGGAGGAACACCGAUGGCGAAGGCAGAUCUCUGGGCCGUUACUGACGCUGAGGAGCGAAAGCGUGGGGAGCAAACAGGCUUAGAUACCCUGGUAGUCCACGCCGUAAACGUUGGGAACUAGAUGUGGGGACCAUUCCACGGUCUCCGUGUCG